rnacentral:rRNA from 1 species
AGCGGCGGACGGGUGAGUAACACGUGGGUAACCUGCCUGUAAGACUGGGAUAACUCCGGGAAACCGGGGCUAAUACCGGAUGCUUGUUUGAACCGCAUGGUUCAAACAUAAAAGGUGGCUUCGGCUACCACUUACAGAUGGACCCGCGGCGCAUUAGCUAGUUGGUGAGGUAACGGCUCACCAAGGCAACGAUGCGUAGCCGACCUGAGAGGGUGAUCGGCCACACUGGGACUGAGACACGGCCCAGACUCCUACGGGAGGCAGCAGUAGGGAAUCUUCCGCAAUGGACGAAAGUCUGACGGAGCAACGCCGCGUGAGUGAUGAAGGUUUUCGGAUCGUAAAGCUCUGUUGUUAGGGAAGAACAAGUACCGUUCGAAUAGGGCGGUACCUUGACGGUACCUAACCAGAAAGCCACGGCUAACUACGUGCCAGCAGCCGCGGUAAUACGUAGGUGGCAAGCGUUGUCCGGAAUUAUUGGGCGUAAAGGGCUCGCAGGCGGUUUCUUAAGUCUGAUGUGAAAGCCCCCGGCUCAACCGGGGAGGGUCAUUGGAAACUGGGGAACUUGAGUGCAGAAGAGGAGAGUGGAAUUCCACGUGUAGCGGUGAAAUGCGUAGAGAUGUGGAGGAACACCAGUGGCGAAGGCGACUCUCUGGUCUGUAACUGACGCUGAGGAGCGAAAGCGUGGGGAGCGAACAGGAUUAGAUACCCUGGUAGUCCACGCCGUAAACGAUGAGUGCUAAGUGUUAGGGGGUUUCCGCCCCUUAGUGCUGCAGCUAACGCAUUAAGCACUCCGCCUGGGGAGUACGGUCGCAAGACUGAAACUCAAAGGAAUUGACGGGGGCCCGCACAAGCGGUGGAGCAUGUGGUUUAAUUCGAAGCAACGCGAAGAACCUUACCAGGUCUUGACAUCCUCUGACAAUCCUAGAGAUAGGACGUCCCCUUCGGGGGCAGAGUGACAGGUGGUGCAUGGUUGUCGUCAGCUCGUGUCGUGAGAUGUUGGGUUAAGUCCCGCAACGAGCGCAACCCUUGAUCUUAGUUGCCAGCAUUCAGUUGGGCACUCUAAGGUGACUGCCGGUGACAAACCGGAGGAAGGUGGGGAUGACGUCAAAUCAUCAUGCCCCUUAUGACCUGGGCUACACACGUGCUACAAUGGACAGAACAAAGGGCAGCGAAACCGCGAGGUUAAGCCAAUCCCACAAAUCUGUUCUCAGUUCGGAUCGCAGUCUGCAACUCGACUGCGUGAAGCUGGAAUCGCUAGUAAUCGCGGAUCAGCAUGCCGCGGUGAAUACGUUCCCG